AACGAACGCUGGCGGCAUGCCUAACACAUGCAAGUCGAACGGGAUCCUAGCUUGCUAGGUGAGAGUGGCGGACGGGUGAGUAACACGUGGGAAUCUCGCCUUUUGGUUCGGGAUAACCGCGGGAAACUGCGGCUAAUACCGAAUGCCCUCGAGAGAGGAAAGAUUUAUCGCCAGAAAGAGGAGCCCGCGUCCGAUUAGGUAGUUGGUGGGGUAAAGGCCUACCAAGCCGACGAUCGGUAGCUGGUCUGAGAGGAUGAUCAGCCACACUGGGACUGAGAUACGGCCCAGACUCCUACGGAGGCAGCAGUGGGGAAUAUUGGACAAUGGGGCAACCCUGAUCCAGCAAUG
rnacentral:rRNA from 1 species